AUAAAAUCAAAAACUUUAUGAAUCAAAACAUAACCUAAAUUGAAUCUGGUUUCAGUAUGUCUUGGGCUCAAUCACAAAUUCCAGCUAAAAGUGAAGACUGAAUAUAAUUUGAGUAUUACUCAAUAGUUCAUACAAGCUAUGAAUACAUAGAAACUACAAAUAGCAUCUCACAUAUGGGCAAAUCUCCGUUCAAAAUGGAGAAAGCCAGGAGGGGGUAGAAACCGCAUUCUUGCCCUCAUAUUGGGAUAUCAAAACACCCA